rnacentral:rRNA from 1 species
UACGUAGGGGGCAAGCGUUGUCCGGAAUCAUUGGGCGUAAAGAGCGUGUAGGCGGCCCGGUAAGUCCGCUGUGAAAGUCGGGGGCUCAACCCUCGAAUGCCGGUGGAUACUGUCGGGCUAGAGUGCGGGAGAGGCGAGUGGAAUUCCUGGUGUAGCGGUGAAAUGCGCAGAUAUCAGGAAGGAACACCCGUAGUGCGAAGGCGCUCGUGACGGU